rnacentral:lncRNA from 1 species
UGUAUGUAUAUGCACUUGAUUAAUUCUCACAUCAACCCUGUGAAAUGGUGUUAUAAUUAUCCAAUUUUGCAGGCAAAGAACCUGGGGUACUGAGAGGUUAAAUAAGUUGCCCAAGAAAAAAACCCACACGGCUCAUACGUGGCAAGGCAGAGAUGUGAACCCAGGCAGAAUGGCUCCCAAGCCUGAGUUCCGACCUCCACGAGUACCUGUUCAUGAAAGAACAAACAAAGAAACACAGAAACACUAAGAGCGCAGACUGUUUCUCGUUUACCCUGUUAAUAUUUAUCAUCAAUUUGUUACUGUUUUGUUGUCAAUGAGUGGAAACUGGAGUAAAAGGAUUAUAAAAAUUUACAGAAGAAAAACUCAAAAGUGAACAAAAAGUUAUUCAUUCGUAUAUUUUCCCACAACAAUUCGAAGCAGAACAGACUUCAGAUGUAGAACCCAUCCAUCCAACUUAUAAUGAACCGUUGUCUUGUGAGAUCACCGUCUGAGAACUAUUGGGGUAUGAAAAGGAGUCUUGGGCUUGAGGUAAAAACACUUGGGUUUGAUACAUCUUUUGCUUUUUUAUUGCUGUAUGACUCUGGGCAUGGUGCACUAGGACGAGGUUGGAAAAUGGGAUGAAAUGUCGACAGCACACACCAAGAUGUCUUCCACCAGCUUGGCUUGAUUGACUUUCUAUCACUUACACUCUCUCCCCUGCCUGGAUUGAACCAUCCCAUCCUGUAUAUCGAUCAAACCUCCACAUCCAUUCAGUCCUUUCUCAAGUCUCAGCUUCUCCACAAGACCUUGCUUGACCACAUCAGCUCCUCACUGAACUCGUGUUGCCUUCACAAAUGCAACGAUGCAGAUAACAACUUGGGAGGCUUUCAAGAUGUUUUAUGUGUAAUUAUCAUGGAUCUUCAACUGAAGGAAUUGGCCAAGGAGCUCAGUUUCACCUCUGGUUUCACAUUUUGUAAAUGUGGAAUAAGGAAUCAAGAUUUCAGGAAGCAGAAAAAGCUUGGGCUCAUAAGCCUUCUGGGAAUUUGCAACAUACUUGGAGAAGGACUUGACUUUCCACAAAGCACUGGAAUGGGCUUCAAGUCAAGUGUCUAGAUCUUGAGAGCCAGGCCUCCGGUGACACCUGGGUUACAUUUGGUAAGACUAGCUCUUGCCCUAGAAAUAAUAGAGGAGGUCAUGAGGUACAGUGAAAGGGGGGUCAAACUUGGAAUAAGAGUACCUGGUGUGUAUUUUGGCUCCGCAACUUGCUCUUUGGAGCCUGUUCCAUGAUUUACAAAAUACACCUACCUACCCAGCAAGUAUGAAAAUGAAGGUAAAAUGUGUG